GACGAACGCUGGCGGCGUGCCUAAUACAUGCAAGUAGAACGCUGAAGGAGGAGCUUGCUUCUCCGGAUGAGUUGCGAACGGGUGAGUAACGCGUAGGUAACCUGCCUGGUAGCGGGGGAUAACUAUUGGAAACGAUAGCUAAUACCGCAUAAGAGUAGAUGUCGCAUGACAUUUGCUUAAAAGGUGCAACUGCACCACUACCAGAUGGACCUGCGUUGUAUUAGCUAGUUGGUGAGGUAACGGCUCACCAAGGCAACGAUACAUAGCCGACCUGAGAGGGUGAUCGGCCACACUGGGACUGAGACACGGCCCAGACUCCUACGGGAGGCAGCAGUAGGGAAUCUUUGGCAAUGGACGGAAGUCUGACCGAGCAACGCCGCGUGAGUGAAGAAGGUUUUCGGAUCGUAAAGCUCUGUUGUAAGAGAAGAACGAGUGUGAGAGUGGAAAGUUCACACUGUGACGGUAUCUUACCAGAAAGGGACGGCUAACUACGUG
rnacentral:rRNA from 1 species